rnacentral:misc_RNA from 1 species
CGCAGCCGCGGUAAUUCCAGCUCCAAUAGCGUAUAUUAAAGUUGUUGCAGUUAAAAGCUCGUAGUUGAAUUUCGGGGUUAGUAGGUUGGUCAUGCCUCCGGUAUGUACUGGUCUCACUGAUUCCUCCUUCCUGAUGAACCUUAAUGCCAUUAAUUUGGUGUUUUGGGGAAUUUGGACUGUUACUUUGAAAAAUUAGAGUGUUUAAAGCAAGCUAACGCUUGAAUACAUUAGCAUGGAAUAAUGAAAUAGGACGUUCGAUCCUAUUUUGUUGGUUUCUAGGAUUGACGUAAUGAUUAAUAGGGAUAGUUGGGGCAUUAGUAUUCAAUUGUCAGAGGUGAAAUUCUUGGAUUUAUUGAAGACUAACUACUGCGAAAGCAUUUGCCAAGGAUGUUUUCAUUAAUCAAGAACGAAAGUUAGGGAUCGAAGACGAUCAGAUACCGUCGUAGUCUUAACCAUAAACUAUGCCGACUAGGGAUCGGAUGAUGUUAAUUUUUAAUGACUCAUUCGGCGCCUUACGGGA